ACGUAGGGUGCAAGCGUUGUCCGGAAUUACUGGGUGUAAAGGGAGCGCAGGCGGGAAGACAAGUUGGAAGUGAAAAUCAUGGGCUCAACCCAUGAAUUGCUUUCAAAACUGUUUUUCUUGAGUAGUGCAGAGGUAGAUGGAAUUCCCGGUGUAGCGGUGGAAUGCGUAGAUAUCGGGAGGAACACCAGUGGCGAAGGCGGUCUACUGGGCACCAACUGACGCUGAGGCUCGAAAGCAUGGGUAGCAAACAG
rnacentral:rRNA from 1 species